rnacentral:rRNA from 1 species
GAUGAACGCUGGCGGCGUGCCUAAUACAUGCAAGUCGAGCGAACAGACGAGGAGCUUGCUCCUCUGACGUUAGCGGCGGACGGGCGAGUAACACGUGGAUAACCUACCUAUAAGACUGGAUAACUUCGGGAAACCGGAGCUAAUACCGGAUAAUAUAUUGAACCGCAUGGUUCCAUAGUGAAAGACGGUUUUGCUGUCACUUAUAGAUGGAUCCGCGCCGCAUUAGCUAGUUGGUAAGGUAACGGCUUACCAAGGCAACGAUGCGUAGCCGACCUGAGAGGGUGAUCGGCCACACUGGAACUGAGACACGGUCCAGACUCCUACGGGAGGCAGCAGUAGGGAAUCUUCCGCAAUGGGCGAAAGCUUGACGGAGCAACGCCGCGUGAGUGAUGAAGGUCUUCGGAUCGUAAAACUCUGUUAUUAGGGAAGAACAAAUGUGUAAGUAACUAUGCACGUCUUGACGGUACCUAAUCAGAAAGCCACGGCUAACUACGUG